GAUGAACGCUGGCGGCGUGCCUAAUACAUGCAAGUCGAGCGAACAGACGAGGAGCUUGCUCCUCUGACGUUAGCGGCGGACGGGUGAGUAACACGUGGAUAACCUACCUAUAAGACUGGGAUAACUUCGGGAAACCGGAGCCAAUACCGGAUAAUAUAUUGAACCGCAUGGUUCAAUAGUGAAAGACGGUUUUGCUGUCACUUAUAGAUGGAUCCGCGCCGCAUUAGCUAGUUGGUAAGGUAACGGCUUACCAAGGCAACGAUGCGUAGCCGACCUGAGAGGGUGAUCGGCCACACUGGAACUGAGACACGGUCCAGACUCCUACGGGAGGCAGCAGUAGGGAAUCUUCCGCAAUGGGCGAAAGCCUGACGGAGCAACGCCGCGUGAGUGAUGAAGGUCUUCGGAUCGUAAAACUCUGUUAUUAGGGAAGAACAAAUGUGUAAGUAACUAUGCACGUCUUGACGGUACCUAAUCAGAAAGCCACGGCUAACUACGU
rnacentral:rRNA from 1 species